GAUGAAGAACGUAGCGAAAUGCGAUAAGUAAUGUGAAUUGCAGAAUUCAGUGAAUCAUCGAAUCUUUGAACGCAUCUUGCGCUCCUUGGUAUUCUGAGGAGCAUGCCUGUUUGAGUGUCAUUAAAUUCUCAACUACACUGACUUUGAAUUGGUGUGGCUUGGAUUUGGGGGGAAAAUUGUUGUGGGCUUUUUGUAUAGUCUGCUCCCCUGAAAUUGAUUAGCGGUACCUUUGUGGAACUGUCUACAGGUGUGAUAAUUAUCUACAUCUUAGACAUCUGCUGGAAUGCUGCUUUCUAAACCUUACUUGUAUUGACAAUCUUGACCUCAAAUCAGGUAGGACUACCCGCUGAACUUAAGCAUAUCAAUAAGCGGAAGA
rnacentral:misc_RNA from 1 species